rnacentral:rRNA from 1 species
GACGAACGCUGGCGGCGUGCUUAACACAUGCAAGUCGAACGGAAAGGCCCUGCUUUUGUGGGGUGCUCGAGUGGCGAACGGGUGAGUAACACGUGAGUAACCUGCCCUUGACUUUGGGAUAACUUCAGGAAACUGGGGCUAAUACCGGAUAGGAGCUCCUGCUGCAUGGUGGGGGUUGGAAAUUUUCGGCGGUUGGGGAUGGACUCGCGGCUUAUCGGCUUGUUGGUGGGGUAGUGGCUUACCAAGGCUUUGACGGGUAGCCGGCCUGAGAGGGUGACCGGCCACAUGGGGACUGAGAUACGGCCCAGACGCCUACGGGAGGCAGCAGUGGGGAAUAUUGCACAAUGGCGGAAGCCUGAUGCAGCAACGCCGCGUGCGGGAUGACGGCCUUCGGGUUGUAAACCGCUUUCGCCUGUGACGAAGCGUGAGUGACGGUAAUGGGUAAAGAAGCACCGGCUAACUACGUG